GAGAGGGGUGUGCACUGUCAGAGGCAGCAGUACACCAGUGAAAUGAGAAGCACUAUCUCCCUAGCAGCACAUUUCCACUGAGUGAGAGAGAGAGAGAGAAUAAGGGACGGAGAAAUAAGGAGAAAGGUAGCGCCAUAGAACGAGGCAGGUGAAAAGGUUCACCUGUAUCUUUCUUGGCUUCAUCUAUUUUGUGUGUGCGUAUGACAGUGGAGGAUCGUCAGAGGAGGAAGGGGAGAACCAUCUGCCUUAGUGAAGUUCAUUAAAAUAGUGAAACACUA